rnacentral:rRNA from 1 species
AACGAACGCUGGCGGCAUGCCUAACACAUGCAAGUCGAACGAGACCUUCGGGUCUAGUGGCGCACGGGUGCGUAACGCGUGGGAACCUGCCCUUAGGUUCGGAAUAACUCCCCGAAAGGGGUGCUAAUACCGGAUAAUGUCUUCGGACCAAAGAUUUAUCGCCUUUGGAUGGGCCCGCGUUGGAUUAGCUAGUUGGUAGGGUAAAAGCCUACCAAGGCGACGAUCCAUAGCUGGUCUGAGAGGAUGAUCAGCCACACUGGGACUGAGACACGGCCCAGACUCCGACGGGAGGCAGCAGUAGGGAAUAUUGGACGAUGGGCGAAAGCCUGAUCCAGCAAUGCCGCGUGAGUGAUGAAGGCCUUAGGGUUGUAAAGCUCUUUUACCCGGGAUGAUAAUGACAGUACCGGGAGAAUAAGCUCCGGCUAACUCCGUG